rnacentral:sRNA from 1 species
UUACAUUCUAGCCCAUUCAGUCAAUUGCUUUCCCAAAAUAAUUGUAUUUUAAGUAAAAAUUAUUGGGUUGGUUAGAAUUUCAAUUUGGGUUUUGAUUUUUAUGCAUUCAAACUUUCAGUCCACAGUUGAGAGACAAGGAAAAGUUUAGGGUUUUUGUUUGGCCAUAAUUGACGAAGUAAAGCUUUGCUCUUCCCAAGAGCUAUGAACUCUUUAGUUUUCCAAUUUUAUGAAUUGGGUUUUUGUUUUUCUUUUCAGGCACGCAAUCAAAGAUAUGGUGGUGCGCGAAUCACCUAGAAACUAAUAACAGCUUUGAUCUUCCACAGGACUACUCUCUGUUGCUUCUGAAAGAUCUCCAUCUCGAUGUGAAUAGGGUUUAUUCAAUCUGUGUGGAUUACCCAGGUGUUGAAUUUGAUAGAUAAUGUGACUUUUGAGAUGGCAGAGUUUUUGAAAUUGUGUUUUUGGCAUGUCUGAACCUGAAUGAUGCAGCCUUUGAUCUUUCAAAUGGAAGGGUUGUCGAUGAGAUAUUCAGGUGUCGUUAUCAUUCUUAGCCUUCUUUAUUUCAAAACUACCUUAACCUCAAGCUCACCUGCAAGUUCCUGCUCACCAGCUACUUCAGUCCUUUGCUGAAGUCUACAAUUGAGUAGAACCAAUGUCGAGUAUCAAUGGUGAAGAAGAUCUCGAUGAAUGAAAGGAGAUUAGAGUCUCGAUUCUUAUUCCUUGAAGGCGGUGCUCAACCUACGAUAAGGGUUUAAUGAAGAUUCUCGAAUGAGGUUGGUUGAGACCAAAAAAAUGGCCUCUUGAAUUUUGAAUUGUGAUUGGAAAUUGGAGUAUAGGUGGACUUAAAAGACAUCAAGUAUGCAGGGGAAUGGUAGGAUUAUCAUUUUAGAGGUACCAGACUAGCUUACCAUGGAGCUUAUAAUAGUCUAAUUGAUGCUGAAAUCUUAUUUGGCCAAUUUGCUGGAACUACAGUGUUUUUACCGAGAAUCUCUUUAAAGACCACAGAAAGCACUGGACUCCCAUGUGAACUGGUGCGAAAACAGUUUCCUGUGAAAUUGAGUUUUGCACUAACCAUGUUGUGUACGAAGAUAUUUUGCUUCCAUCAAAUAUACGAUAAGGCUACAUUCAUUAUGAUGUUUAAUUCACUUUUCAAAUCUAUGUAGAUAUACAUCUAAAUUGUAUAAGUCGCGCAUAGAACGCUGUAAGUAUAAAAGAGCCUUCCGCAUGCGCAUGAGCGAGUGCAUGGAGGCUAGUUUGUAUAGUAUGAACAAACAAGUACUAUUUCGUUGGAAUACUAUCAAUUUGGACAACAUAUCAAAUAAAAAGUGCACACCAUCA